GUGUGUUGUGUCUCUGUUUGUUAUUUGUUUUUAAGCUUUCUAAUGUGGUGAUCUGUGUUUGCCUGUGUGGAGUCUUCCCCACAGAGUGUUGGGCGGGGCUCUUCUCCACACUGGUUCUCUCCAGCUCUGGCUGCUCCUGCACCUUCACAGCUGUUCCCCAUCAAGCUAAUCAAGACACUGCACUUAAGCUCUGAGGAGAGAGGAGUCGGGUGCCAGAGUGUUCCCGCUUCUACAGUGUGCCUCCUCAAGCCUCCUGCACCUCCGCCCUAUCUCUGCCACGCUGCCACGCUCUCCCUCUGGACACUCACCUGCCUUCACCCCAAGGCUCACGCUUCACUCCUGCCUCUCCUGGAUCGCACCCUCACCUUGGAUUCUCCAUCAAUCAUCCUUCACCUCACCGUUAAAAGAAAUAAAAUUACUUCAACUGCUUCCUCA